AAUCAACUUAAUUUCCGUCUCUCGAGCUUCGGGAUUGACCUAAUUGAGUGACUAUCCACCCGUUUAUGGACUCCGGAGACCAGGACUACACACCGUCAUGAAUCAACCAUCAAUCAUGGCCAAUUCUGGCCGGAUACCGCACCGGGAGUGCCCUCUCUGAGCGAAUCGCACAAAAGCUCCCAUUCUCCACCGCGAACAAAAAAGUUCAUCUAAUUUGAAUUCAAUCGAAUUCCAAUCCAAAAUCAAGAGCCCAUUCGAAAAACUGAUUGCCUGUGAUCGAUGUGAUGGAUGCUGCAACUGCGCACUCUUUCGCCAAAGACGGUAUAAGGUGCAGACUCUUCACCAUCGCCGUCGUGAGUGAAAAUAUUCAAAAUCAUUGAAAAAGAUUAUUUUUGUGCCAAACCAACAAAAAGAAAACCGUUGCUGUACGUAAAGUUUAGUUAAAGCAGUAAAUUUCGGGUGCUUCCUGGAAUGAACGUCCGUUACAAGUACCAAUUGAAAAUGUCAACCACCGCUCAAUAUUUUAUUUUGAGAUCAAACUUCCGUGGAUUCAUUGAGCAGCUCCUAUUUUAAAAGCCUGUUGAUGCUCGGUAUAAAGGACGAUGGUCGGCGAAAUGGCAAAUUUCUGCUGGAAAGCUGAAAAACGUCACCGCUUAAAAGGUUCUUGUUUGAAAUCUACACAAGCAUGAAAUUCGUUUGA